rnacentral:rRNA from 1 species
GGCGUGCUUAACACAUGCAAGUAGAACGAGAACCCAUUCUUCGGAUUGGGGGACAGUGGCGAACGGGUGAGUAACACGUUGGUGACCUGCCCCGAAGUGAGGGACAAUCCUGCGAAAGCGGGGCUAAUACCGCAUGUGCUCCAGGGGGUUAGAGGCCCCUGGAGUAAAGCUCCGGCGCUUCGGGAGGGACCUGCGGCCUAUCAGCUAGUUGGUGAGGUAACGGCUCACCAAGGCUAAGACGGGUAGGGGGCGUGAGAGCGUGGCCCCCCACAAUGGAACUGAGACACGGUCCAUACUCCUACGGGAGGCAGCAGUGAGGAAUAUUGCGCAAUGGGGGAAACCCUGACGCAGCAACGCCGCGUGGGUGAUGAAGGCCUUCGGGUCGUAAAACCCUUUUCUGAGGGAAGAGGAAGGACGGUACCUCAGGAAUAAGUCUCGGCUAACUACGUGCCAGCAGCCGCGGUAACACGUAGGAGGCAAGCGUUAUCCGGAUUUACUGGGCGUAAAGCGCGUGCAGGCGGUUCGACAAGUUGGAUGUGAAAUCUCCCGGCUCAACUGGGAGAGGUCGUUCAAUACUAUCGGACUAGAGGACGGUAGAGGAAGGUAGAAUUCCUGGUGUAGUGGUGAAAUGCGUAGAUAUCAGGAGGAAUACCAGUGGCGAAGGCGGCCUUCUGGGCCGUUCCUGACGCUAAGACGCGAAG